rnacentral:rRNA from 1 species
GGUUUGAUCAUGGCUCAGAUUGAACGCUGGCGGGAUGUUUACACAUGCAAGUCGAACGGCAGCACGGACUUCGGUCUGGUGGCGAGUGGCGAACGGGUGAGUAAUGUAUCGGAACGUGCCUAGUAGUGGGGGAUAGCUACGCGAAAGCGUAGCUAAUACGCAUACGGCCCUUCGGGGGAAAGCGGGGGACCUUCGGGCCUCGCACUAUUAGAGCGGCCGAUAUCGGAUUAGCUAGGUUGGUGGGGUAACGGCUCACCAUGACGAUCCGUAGCUGGUUUGAGAGGACGGACCAGCCACACUGGGACUGAGACACGGCCCAUAUCUACGGGAGGCAGCAGUGGGGAACGGACAAUGGGGAAACCCUGAUCCAGCCAUCCUCGCAAAAGGGAGGAAGGGCCUUCGGGUUGUAAAGCACUUUUGGCAGGAAAGAAAUGCACGGAUAAUACCCCGUGCAACUGACGGUACCUGCAGAAUAAGCACUGGCUAACUACGCGCCAGCAGCCGCGGUAAUGCUGCAGGGUGCAAGCGUUAAUCGUGGAAUUACUGGGCGUAAAGCGUGCGCAGGCGGUUCGGAAAGAAAGAUGUGAAAUCCCAGAGCUUAACUUUGAACUGCAUUUUUAACUACCGAGCUAGAGUGUGUCAGGAGGGAGGUGGAAUUCCGCGUGUAGCAGUGAAAUGCGUAGAUAUGCGGAGAACAACGAUGGCGAAGGGCAGCCUCCUGGGAUAACACUGACGCUCGCGCACGAAAGCGUGGGGACAAAACAGGAUUAGAUACCCUGGUAGUCCACGCCCUAAACGAUGUCAACUAUUGUUGGGGCCUUCGGGCUCCUGGUAGCGCAGCUAACGCGGUGAAGUUGACCGCCUGGGGAGUACGGUCGCAAGAUUAAAACUCAAAGGAAUUGAUGGGACCCGCACAAGCGGUGGAUGAUGUGGAUUAAUUCGAUGCAAACGCGAAAACCUUACCUACCCUUGACAUGUCUGGAAUCCCGAAGAGAUUUGGGAGUGCUCGCAAGAGAACCGAAAUCACAGGUGCUGCGGCGACAAAGUCAGUCAGCUCGUGUCGUGAGACGCUGGGUUAAGUCCCGCAACGAGCGCAACCUCCUUUGUCAUUAGUUGCUACGAAAAAAAAAAAGGGCACUCUAAUGACUGCCGGUGACAAACCGGAGGAAGGUGGGGAUGACGUCAAGUCCUCAUGGCCCUUAUGGGUAGGGCUUCUCACACGUCAUACAAUGGUCGGGACAGAGGGUCGCCAACCCGCGCAGGGAGCCAAUCCCAGAAACCCGGAUCGUAGUCCGGAUCGCAGUCUGCAACUUCGACUGCGUGAAGUCGAACCUGUGGUAAUCGCGGAUCAGCAUGUCGCGGUGAAUACGUUCCCGGGUCUUGUACACACCGCCCGUCACACAUGGAGUGGGUUUUACCAGAAGUAGUUAGCCUAACCGUAAGGAGGGCGAUUACCACGGUAGGAUUCAUGACUGGGGUGAAGUCGUAACAAGGCAAC